rnacentral:rRNA from 1 species
UACGUAGGGGGCGAGCGUUGUCCGGAAUCAUUGGGCGUAAAGCGCGUGUAGGCGGCCCGGUAAGUCCGCUGUGAAAGUCCAGGGCUCAACCCUGGGAUGCCGGUGGAUACUGUCGGGCUCGAGUCCGGAAGAGGCGAGUGGAAUUCCUGGUGUAGCGGUGAAAUGCGCAGAUAUCAGGAGGAACACCAAUGGCGAAGGCAGCUCGCUGGGACGUGACUGGCGCUGAGACGCGAAAGCGUGGGGAGCAAACAGG